GGACUACAAGGGUAUCUAAUCCUGUUUGCUCCCCACGCUUUCGCGUCUCAGCGUCAGUAAUCUUCCAGGUGGCCGCCUUCGCCACAGGUGUUCCUCCCGAUAUCUACGAAUUUCACCUCUACACCGGGAAUUCCGCCACCCCCUCCGAUACUCUAGUCUUGUAGUUUCGAAUGCAGUUCCUUGGUUAAGCCAAGGGCUUUCACACCCGACUUGCGAGACCGCCUACACGCGCUUUACGCCCAGUAAUUCCGAACAACGCUUGCACCCUCUGUAUUACCGCGGCUGCUGGCAC
rnacentral:rRNA from 1 species